AGUUACAAAACCUCCAGCUCAAUAAUACAGAGACACUGAGAAUGGAAACAAAAGUGUUCAUCUGUGUUCUGUGUGCCAGUUUGGUAACACUCUUAGUGCAUAAGACAUCAUCAGCCGCAAUAAAUGAAGGCAUAUUUCUAUCAUACAAACCCUCUGAGCAAGGUCCUGUUAAUGGAAGUAAUUACGAGCAGAUGACUAACCUUACCCUAAAUACAAAUACAACCCAAGAAAGUAUUUUGGAAAAGACCAUUGCACCGAACCUUGUAGAGGUACUGUUCAGUGCUUUCAUUUCUCAUGAAAAAAGAAAAAAAAAACUGACCUACUCAGAAAUCUAUCCUGUAAGUCAGGGGUCUCCAACCCUGCUCCUGGAGAGCUACUGUCCUGCAAAUUUCAACUCCAACUCCAAUCAAACACACCCGAACCAGCUAAUCAAGGUGUUCAGGGCUACUUGAUAAUUACAGACAGGUGUGUUGGAGCAGGGUUGGAACUGAUGAUAGCUCUCCAGGAGCAGGGUUGGAGAUCCCUGCAAUACAUUUUAUCUAGGGGUUGUAGGGUUCUUAGGGAAAUCAUUUAUGAAAUUAUAUGAGUUUUUCUGGUCAUCAUUUAUUCACGCUCGUGUCGUUCCCAACCGUAUACUGUUAUUUUCUGCAUGGAACACAAAAGGAGGUAGUUUGAUGUCUAUAUUCACACAACCACAUACACGGGGGUGAGUAAAUGAUAACACAAGGCUAAAUAUUACUUUAAAUGAUUUACAUAGUGUUACAGCCAUAGCUGCUUGUGGUUUGUCUAAUAACACA
ensembl:lncRNA